UCAAACUUGGUCAUUUAGAGGAAGUAAAAGUCGUAACAAGGUCUCCGUUGGUGAACCAGCGGAGGGAUCAUUACCGAGUUUACAACUCCCAAACCCCUGUGAACUUAUACCUUUACUGUUGCUUCGGCGGGUCAUUGCCCCGGGGAAACAGGUGCCGCCAGGUCCCUGCCCCCCCGGAAACAGGCGCCCGCCGGGGGACUCAAACUCUUCUGUAUUUUUUGUUUACUGUAUACUGUCUGAGUAAAAAUUCAUAAUGAAUCAAAACUUUCAACAACGGAUCUCUUGGUUCUGGCAUCGAUGAAGAACGCAGC
rnacentral:misc_RNA from 1 species